UGGGAUUAACAUUAUAGAUGGGUGUGAGC
rnacentral:piRNA from 1 species